GCCGGGCGCGGUGGCUCAAGCCUGUAAUCCCAGCACUUUGGGAGGCCGAGACGGGCGGAUCACGAGGUCAGGAGAUCGAGACCAUCCUGGCUAACAUGGUGAAACCCCGUCUCUACUAAAAAAUANNNNNNNNNNUAUUUUUUAGUAGAGACGGGGUUUCACCAUGUUAGCCAUGAUGGUCUCGAUCUCCUGACCUAGUGAUUCGCCCGUCUCGG
rnacentral:SRP_RNA from 1 species